AAGCUCCUGCAGAAAACAAAGAAAAUAAGCAUGUAUAACAAUCAAAAACUAUUCCCCAUCACCUGUCAUGCCAGAGGUUUAGAUUAAGAUCAUCUUAAGUUGAGAAAUGACACAGCUGUAACGAUUCGAUUAAAUCUGAACCACACAGGCCUGAAUGGUGGAGUCCUGCAGAAACAGGCUGUUGAUCUGGAAGGUUCUCCUCUAUCCACAGACCGAAGCUGGAUGUCUGUCAGAGUGACAGUUUGGGUCUUGGUCACCUCCCUGACUAAAGAGCCCUACAUACUCAAUCUCAAGUCAAAAGUCAACUCGUGGCACAGUCUUUUUCUCACACUUUUCAUAUUUCAUGAGACACAUGAUGCAGAGCUCCUGGGAAAAGCCCUCCCACUGCAGUACACAUCACGACACACGCCACACAAGCACGAGGACAACAUGCAAACUCCACACAGAAAGACCUCAGGUCUGAACCAGGGAUCAAACCCAGAACAUUCUCAGGUUCCCAGGCUCAACAGUCUGUAAGAAACUGUCAGAAAAUAGUGGAACAACUUUCGAAUAACGGCCCUUAAUGAAAAUUUGGGAGGACUUUAGAUAUCACAUCAUAUAUGGUUUAAAAUAUCAUAAGAUUUAAA